rnacentral:rRNA from 1 species
UACGUAGGGUGCGAGCGUUAAUCGGAAUUACUGGGCGUAAAGUGUGCGCAGGCGGCUUCGCAAGUCGAGUGUGAAAUCCCCGAGCUUAACUUGGGAAUUGCGCUCGAAACUACGGAGCUGGAGUGUGGCAGAGGAAGGUGGAAUUCCACGUGUAGCGGUGAAAUGCGUAGAUAUUCGCAAGAACACCAGUGGCGAAGGCGGCUCACUGGCCCGAUACUGACGCUGAGGCACGAAAGCGUGGGGAGCGAACAGG